rnacentral:rRNA from 1 species
GUAGUUAGCCGGGGCUUCCUCCUUGGCUACCGUCACUUUCUUCGUCACCAAGGACAGAGGUUUACAAUCCGAAGACCUUCUUCCCUCACGCGGCGUUGCUGGGUCAGGCUUUCGCCCAUUGCCCAAUAUUCCCCACUGCUGCCUCCCGUAGGAGUCUGGACCGUGUCUCAGUUCCAGUGUGGCCGAUCAGCCUCUCAGCUCGGCUACCCAUCGUUGGCUAGGUGGGCCGUUACCCCGCCUACUACCUAAUGGGACGCGAACCCCUCCUUCUGCGGAUUGCUCCUUUGAUUAUUAAAAGAUGCCUUUCAAUAAUGUUAUGCGGUAUUAAUCUCCCUUUCGGGAGGCUAUUCCCCUCUAUGAGGCAGGUUGCCCACGUGUUACUCACCCGUCCGCCGCUAGAAAAGCUCCGAAGAACUUUUCUCGCUCGACUUGCAUGUGUUAAGCACGCCGCCAGCGUUCAUCCUGAGCCAGAAUCAAACUCUGA